rnacentral:rRNA from 1 species
GACGAACGCUGGCGGCGUGCUUAACACAUGCAAGUCGAACGGAAAGGCCCUGCUUUUGUGGGGUGCUCGAGUGGCGAACGGGUGAGUAACACGUGAGUAACCUGCCCUUGACUUUGGGAUAACUUCAGGAAACUGGGGCUAAUACCGGAUAGGAGCUCCUGCUGCAUGGUGGGGGUUGGAAAGUUUCGGCGGUUGGGGAUGGACUCGCGGCUUAUCAGCUUGUUGGUGGGGUAGUGGCUUACCAAGGCUUUGACGGGUAGCCGGCCUGAGAGGGUGACCGGCCACAUUGGGACUGAGAUACGGCCCAGACUCCUACGGGAGGCAGCAGUGGGGAAUAUUGCACAAUGGGCGGAAGCCUGAUGCAGCAACGCCGCGUGCGGGAUGACGGCCUUCGGGUUGUAAACCGCUUUCGCCUGUGACGAAGCGUGAGUGACGGUAAUGGGUAAAGAAGCACCGGCUAACUACGUGCCAACAGCCGCGGUGAUACGUAGGGUGCGAGCGUUGUCCGGAUUUAUUGGGCGUAAAGGGCUCGUAGGUGGUUGAUCGCGUCGGAAGUGUAAUCUUGGGGCUUAACCCUGAGCGUGCUUUCGAUACGGGUUGACUUGAGGAAGGUAGGGGAGAAUGGAAUUCCUGGUGGAGCGGUGGAAUGCGCAGAUAUCAGGAGGAACACCAGUGGCGAAGGCGGUUCUCUGGGCCUUUCCUGACGCUGAGGAGCGAAAGCGUGGGGAGCGAACAGGCUUAGAUACCCUGGUAGUCCACGCUGUAAACGGUGGGUACUAGGUGUGGGGUCCAUUCCACGGGUUCCGUGCCGUAGCUAACGCUUUAAGUACCCCGCCUGGGGAGUACGGCCGCAAGGCUAAAACUCAAAGGAAUUGACGGGGCCCCGCACAAGCGGCGGAGCAUGCGGAUUAAUUCGAUGCAACGCGUAGAACCUUACCUGGGUUUGACAUGGAUCGGGAGCGCUCAGAGAUGGGUGUGCCUCUUUUGGGGUCGGUUCACAGGUGGUGCAUGGCUGUCGUCAGCUCGUGUCGUGAGAUGUUGGGUUAAGUCCCGCAACGAGCGCAACCCUUGUUCACUGUUGCUAGCACGUUAUGGUGGGGACUCAGUGGAGACCGCCGGGGUCAACUCGGAGGAAGGUGGGGAUGACGUCAAGUCAUCAUGCCCCUUAUGUCCAGGGCUUCACGCAUGCUACAAUGGCUGGUACAGAGAGUGGCGAGCCUGUGAGGGUGAGCGAAUCUCGGAAAGCCGGUCUCAGUUCGGAUUGGGGUCUGCAACUCGACCUCAUGAAGUCGGAGUCGCUAGUAAUCGCAGAUCAGCAACGCUGCGGUGAAUACGUUCCCGGG